AUGUCUUCUGCGCAGCAGGUGCCGGCCCGGGCGGUGGGCGUGGGGGCCUGGGUGUCCGACCAGGUCAGCUCAGUUCGGCUCAGCUCGGCGGCCGCACCGCCUCCCGGCACAGGUGUGGCCUGGGGUGGGGGGCGCGACCCAGGGAGGGGGCUGCGGUGUCAGUCCCGGCCGGGGCCUGUAGAUGCCGCCUCGGGGGUCUCUGGGGCUGGGGAGGAUCCUGCGAGGGGCCAGGGAGGCUCCAAGGCCGCGCGCGGCAAGGGUCGUGGCGGCGUCCAGCAGCCUGGGGCGGGGCGCGCGCUCCGGGCAGGGCAGGUAGAGGCCGAGAGGGGCCGGCCCGGCGGUUCGCGCGCGCUCUCUGCCGUCCGCAGGCCGCGGCGCAGGCUCUGCCGCCUGAAGCUCGUCUUGCCGCAGGGAGGAUGCCCAAGGCUGGGCAGGAACCCCUGGCUCCUGACCAGGAAUGGCCAUGGUAAGAGUCCUGCAAAACCAGAAAUCAGAUCUUACACUGGCAGCACACGGGAACACAGCAACUAGACUGGGAGCAGCAGGGCUUGCAGCAGCUGGACUGGCAGCAGGAUGACCCACAGCCUGAGGAGCAGCAGCAGGGCUUACAGCAACUGCACUGGGAGCAGGAUGGCCCACAGCCUCCCUUAGAGCCACCACAAGAGCCACAGCUGGAGCAGGAACAGGCUGGGAUACAGCAACACACAGGCUUGCAGCAGCAGACGGGCACACAGCAGCCAGAGCCACAGCCCCCACAGCCGGAGCCACAGUCCCCACAGCCAGAGCCACAGCCCCCACAGCCGGAGCCACAGCCCCCGCAGCCGGAGCCACAGCCCCCGCAGCCGGAGCCACAGCCCCCGCAGCCGGAGCCACAGCCCCCGCAGCCGGAGCCACAGCCCCCACAGCCGGAGCCACAGCCUCCAGAGCAGCCACAGCAGCCCAUGGUUCUGGUGGAUCGAGGGUGGAGCAGGCAGAGGAGCAGAUGGAGACAACAGGAAGGAAGGAGGUCUUCCUGGUUACAGGUGGCCACAGGAGAAUAGGCAGCGGCCCAGGAGGAUCCAGGGUCCCAAUGGUGGUUGAGAAGCUGGUUUUUAGUGAUCACUCAGGAAUGUCGACCUGGCCUUGUGGGGUCAGACUUUGCAUCUCAGUCAU